UCUGGGAGCUCAAAAACAAAAAACAAAUGUUGUGUUUUUCUAUAGGAAGCCCAUAAAAAAGAUGAGAAGCUCUUGGAGUUUCCUCUCAAGCUGAGUCACAUCCAGGCUGCAGCCAGGAUCUCAUUGGAAACAUUAGAUGCUGAGCUGCAUUUGCUGACAUCUCGCACACACUCAGUGGAGGAGAGCAUCCAGAGAGACACAGAGCUGCUGCAGCAACUGGACAGCUUUCUGCAGCAUGCCACAUCAUCUCUCUGCUCACUCCGCGGCAGUCGGCAACAGCUAAAAAGGGAAGGCAGCGAGCUGAUCGACUUUUUCUGCGAGGACAGAGACACUUUCAGGCUGGACGACUGUUUCAGCAUCUUCCACACCUUCUGCUCCAGGUUCACAAAU